rnacentral:rRNA from 1 species
UACGGGGGGGGCAAGCGUUGUUCGGAAUUACUGGGCGUAAAGGGCGCGUAGGUGGUUUCUUACGUUCCACGUGAAAGCCCCUGGCUCAACCAGGGAGGGUCGUGGGAAACGGGGAAACUGGAGGCAGCGAGAGGCUGGUGGAAUUCCCGGAGUAGUGGUGAAAUGCGUAGAGAUCGGGAGGAACACCGGUGGCGAAGGCGGC